GGAAAACAGUGGGAUAUUGGUUUGAGUCCUGGACUACAACUCCGGAGAUCAGGGUUCAAUUCCCUGCUUGGCCA